AACGUAGGAGACGAACGUUAUCCGGAGUUACUGGGCGUAAAGGGCGUGUAGGCGGUUUGUUAAGUCUGGCGUGAAAGCUCUCGGCUAAACCGGGAGAGGUCGUUGGAUACUGGCAAACUUGAGGAUGGUAGAGGCGUGUGGAAUUCCGGGUGUAGUGGUGAAAUGCGUAGAGAUCCGGAGGAACACCAGUGGCGAAGGCGACCUGCUGGGCCGACCCUGACGCUGAGGCGCGAAAGCGUGGGGAGCGAACCGG
rnacentral:rRNA from 1 species